GGGUAAGUGGUCUAGGGGUAUGAUUUCUCAUUCGCACGUUGUCAUGAACAGAGUAAACCUUGAGAAGGUCCUGGGUUCAAUUCCCAGCUUAUCCA